AGCGGCGGAUGGGUGAGUAACACGUGGGGAACCUGCCCCUAAGUCUGGGAUACCAUUUGGAAACAGGUGCUAAUACCGGAUAAUAAAGCAGAUCGCAUGAUCAGCUUUUGAAAGGCGGCGUAAGCUGUCGCUAAGGGAUGGCCCCGCGGUGCAUUAGCUAGUUGGUAAGGUAACGGCUUACCAAGGCGACGAUGCAUAGCCGAGUUGAGAGACUGAUCGGCCACAUUGGGACUGAGACACGGCCCAAACUCCUACGGGAGGCAGCAGUAGGGAAUCUUCCACAAUGGACGCAAGUCUGAUGGAGCAACGCCGCGUGAGUGAAGAAGGUUUUCGGAUCGUAAAGCUCUGUUGUUGGUGAAGAAGGAUAGAGGUAGUAACUGGCCUUUAUUUGACGGUAAUCAACCAGAAAGUCACGGCUAACUACGUGCCAGCAGCCGCGGUAAUACGUAGGUGGCAAGCGUUGUCCGGAUUUAUUGGGCGUAAAGCGAGCGCAGGCGGAAAAAUAAGUCUAAUGUGAAAGCCCUCGGCUUAACCGAGGAACUGCAUCGGAAACUGUUUUUCUUGAGUGCAGAAGAGGAGAGUGGAACUCCAUGUGUAGCGGUGGAAUGCGUAGAUAUAUGGAAGAACACCAGUGGCGAAGGCGGCUCUCUGGUCUGCAACUGACGCUGAGGCUCGAAAGCAUGGGUAGCGAACAGGAUUAGAUACCCUGGUAGUCCAUGCCGUAAACGAUGAGUGCCAAGUGU
rnacentral:rRNA from 1 species